UACGGAGGAUCCAAGCGUUAUCCGGAUUUAUUGGGUUUAAAGGGUGCGUAGGCGGAAUUGUAAGUCAGUGGUGAAAGCCCUUCGCUUAACGAAGGAACUGCCAUUGAUACUGCAGAUCUUGAGUACAUUUGAUGUGGGCGGAAUGUGUCAUGUAGCGGUGAAAUGCUUAGAUAUGACACAGAACACCAAUUGCGUAGGCAGCUCGCUAAACUCUUACUGACGCUGAGGCACGAAAGCAUGGGGAUCAAACAGG
rnacentral:rRNA from 1 species